AUGGCAGAAUGCUUCAAUAAGGUGCUCAAGGGUGUACGUGCAUUACCCGUGACAGCAAUAGUUCAAUACACAUUUGACAAGAUGAAUGGAUACUUUUUAAAGUACUCUAUGGAGACGGAUAAGCAGAUUGCUGGUGAGAACAAGGAUAAGCACAAGUACUAUUUCCCACCAAAGGUUGAAGAAUGGUUGGACUUUCAAUCACGAAAGGCAGACUCCCAAGAAGCUGUACUAUAUGACGACAACGAGUGGAAGUAUGAAGUGAAAGAGCCUGGAGGAACCACAAACGAUGGGCACCAACACGGAGGCCGCGCUUUCAAGGUCUCCCUAACACGGUGUGAUUGCAGCUGCAUGAGGCCAUCGUUGCUUCAUCUCCCGUGCUCGCACUUGUUAAAUGCAUCCCGUGUUAGGAAUGUGGACGUCAAUCACCCUCUUACCGUGAGGGAGUUCGAGUUCUCAAUCAUGACGGUAAAGAAUACAUGGGCUCCCCGGUUCCAGCCAUACUUGGACCAAUCACAAUGGCCGGAGUAUCAUGGAGUUCAACUAUGGCCGGACCCG
rnacentral:rRNA from 1 species